CCCCGCCCUCCCGGUGCCCGCGGGAUGCUCCCGGCGCGCGGUGCGCGGCUCUCCCGUCCGCGAAGCCUAUUUCUCGGCAGCGAUAUGGUACAUUGACACCUCUUCCCCCGCCCUCGGCGUCGGGAGGGGAAUGGAUGCUGGAAAUUCUCCGGGGAACCGGAGCGGGGGCUUCCCUAUGUGCUGCAGCACUUCUCAGUGGGGAUCCUUCUGCCCCGAAGGGUUCUGAGCUCGGACGUGGUUCGAAAAGUGGCUUUUGUGACCCCCUCCUCACGCUCCGACAGCAGCAGAAAGUCCCAUUUUACACAUCCUGUUGGUGACAACGUCAACAGUAACAUUCAGCAGAGGAUGCAAACACACAGAUGGAACGAAAUAUUUUUUUGAAAGCUUUUAUUGAGACAGAGACCAUCAGAAAAGGACACGUCCCGGGCAGGAGCAGCCCAGGAGCAGCGCAGCCGGGGCCGCGCACAUCACAACCGCAGCGACUGCGGUGCGGAGAGACGGGGAACAGAACGCUGCCCCGGGCACGGAGCCCUCUCCCCUAUUUCGGGAUGCGGGGGCUGAGCUGUCUCACUGACCUUUGCUUCUAAAUUACAGAGAGAGGGAAAGCUGAAAUACAUCCGAAAAGGAGCAGAUCCCGGAGGGAUGCGGUGGGGAACGGCCCCUGGGUCCGGGGGGAACGGGGACGGGGCACGGAGCGGGGGCUGGGGGUGAGCCCCAACACAGCAAAUGGGGCGGCGUUCCAUGGGGGCUUUGUGCGCGUUUCUGUGCGGUGAGAGGAGGGAUGGGUGAGUCGUUCCGUGCUGGGGUGAAGAAUUACCUUCGUGGGAAACGCCGUCGCACUGUUCGUGUGAAGAAAGGGUUAAAGCAGCAGAAAACCGCCGCUUUGGAGCCUCGACAAGAAAGAGGGGUGCCUCCGCCAUCCGGGCACCCCACGGUUCGAUGGGCCGGGAGCGGUCCCGCGGUACGAUCCAUUUCCCAGCGGAGUGUGACUGCAUGGAGAGCAAACAGAAAAAAAAAGCCAAGAGAGGAAAACUGCGUUUAUUGCGAGGGACGGUGGCACUGUGCGAGGCGGGGGUGGAGGGAAAGAAAACAGGAAAAAAAAAUAAAAAGAAAAAAGAAAUUAAAAAAAAAAAAAGAAAGGGAAGCUCGCGGGCAGCCGCGGGCAGCGCGAUGGUUCCGGGCCGCCGCCGGCAGCGCAGCCGAAAUCCCCGCGCAGCGCCGGGAGCCGCCGCCCGCUCUCAAAAUGUCGGUGGCGGCGGAGCGCUGCGGCGUCCCCCGGGGAGCGCGGCGGAGCGGGGCCGCCCCAGAGGCCGCCGGGCUGGGGAGGGGGGGGGGGGGGCAGCGCCCGGCUCCGAAACCGUUACUUCGUCUGUACGGUUCCUUUCCCCUUUCUCUUCCUGUCCAAAUAUUUUUAAAUUUACGCGCCUUAACUAACAGUCUGAUUUUAUUUCGCGAGUUUCCUCCGCGGGCUCCGCCGCCGCUUCCCUCCGGCCCCCCGCCGCGAGGGGCCCGGCCCGGCCCGGCCGCACCGCUCCGCAGCCCCACCGCGGGGUGAGCUUUCCCUUUUCUUUCUUUUUUUUUUUUGUCUCUUUUUUCUCCCCCCCCCCCCCAUCCCUCUCCCGGAGCCGAAGAACCGCAGUGCGGGUGCCUUUUCUCUUGGUUAGAGGGAAUAUGAAGGGCAAAAAGAUUUCCAAAGAAGGAGGGUCUGGUAAUUCUCAACAGUGCAAAUUAGUUCUCAGCAUCUUCAAGAUGGAAAAAACACAGUUCUGCUGGAACAGGGCAAAGGUACCCGCAAAUCUCCUCAGAAAGAAGGACCAUGUAAAAAUCUACUUGGGAGCUUCCAAGUCUGUGCAGAACAAACAGCUCAGAAACGUGCUCUUUUGGUCCAGAGUCACCUCCACCAUUCUAUACAUACAAAGGUCACUUGUGUGCCUAUUGCCACAAAAGCAGAUCCUUCUAAGCAGCCCACAGACUUAAAAAUAGUAUCUAUAGAAAGUCAGUACUGCAAAGCUUGCCAGACCUGUUCCAUUUUUUUGCAGCUUAAUACUGAAACAGGUCAUAGGGUCUCUAAAGAAAGGCUCCCACCAAACAGCUAUUGAACACUAAGGACAACCAACUUCUGCUUUGAAAAACUUUUUGACUGCUUUCUUAUCCCCAAGCUGCAAUAGGAAAAUAAAAGUGGCAGAAAACUAGUGGCCUCACAGUUACACCACAGCAGGUACAGGGAUACAAAAAACCCACAACGUUCCUGUAUUUGUGAACAGAAUUAUUUCCACUCUCCAUCUCCCAGAUCACUUUUCAAUUUGUGACCCAAUGGCGCCCAGCUGCUAUUAACCACCUACCUGACAUAACAGCAAUAAAUGGCCUGGAAAAACAAGUGGCUUAACCCAUCUCUACUUCGAAGAGCUCAGUAAUGACUACUAAUUGCUCCUCCUCAUUCAAAGCUACUCAGCCUACAUGGAGCUACAGCAACUACAUGCACUGAAGCUCUGCAUAGAGUGAGAAAUAACCUUAAACAGCACCAGGGAAGGUUCAGGUUGGAUAUUAGGAACAAUGUCUUCUCAGAAGAAGUGGCGAUGCAUUGACACAGACUGCCUAGGGAUGAGGUGGAGUCACCGUUCCAGGAGAUGUUUGAGAACCAUGGGGCUGUGGGACUGAGGGACAUGGUCAGAAGACAUGGGGGGGACAGGUUGGGGCUGGACUGGUGGAUGAGGUCUUUUCCAAUUUUAAUGAUUUUAUGAUAAAACGAGAAAUGGCAGUAGAAUAAAGACAUCCUUCUCACUUCCCGCUAUCUUGUCAGUGAUGCCACCACUGCACAGCUAGGUGUCCUCUAACUGUCCCCCUAACCCACCACAGGAUUCUGCAGCAGCAGCAGCUCUGACAUUGCUCUCACCUUGAAGCUACUCCUGGGAG
ensembl:lncRNA